UGAAAUUACUAAAAUUUCAAGAUGUUAAAAAUUUUUGAAUAUAUACAGGAUGUCUGAGCUAAAAUUAUCCAAAAGCAAUGGCUUGUAAUGCAAAAACCACUCCUUAUAUUUUCUCAAACUAAAGUACAUUUGAUACAAAAAUCUUUCAAAGAUUUAUCACACUUUCAAGCUCACUAGUAUGCAUGCAUAGUCUCACUUGUGCAAAAAUAGCAUGAGAAUGGCUAUCGUCUCAAUUGAGAUAUGAAUGCCAUAGUGGAAGGUGCAGUGUGUGCUUUGGUUAGUUUAAUUUAAAUCUGUUGUGUAUGUUUAGUGGCAUGCAUGAUGGAAAUUGAAUUUGGAUCUUUUCAACAGUUUAACUGUCACUUUAGCUAAGCUGGACUAAAUGAGAAGGCCUUCCAUGUCAUCUAUAGGAGAGCAAUUGAGAGAUGGCUAUGCUAUGUAUACAACUCCUGAUGGAUCUGCUUUCACCAGUAAAGAGAAGUGGUUGUUGCUGAGAAUAUAGCACCCAUUGGCCUUAUGGAUCACAAAAGCAUAUUGGACUGUCUCAACACAGGUCAUGCUGGUCUUAGCCAAUCUGAGACUUUCAUCUUUGUUAAUGGAGCAAAAAACUGUUUUCAUUAUCUACUUCACUCUGCUCUCAAUGGAAGGCUUCUGCUCUUAUACAGAAGCCUUCCAUUGCCAAGGCAUCGUAAAUGUGAAUUGGACUCUACAAAGUGAAAAUAUUGAAUGCUUGCAACAAGUCAGAGGAAUCUUGCAAAACUCAUACAACUGAGGGAUGCAAUUAAUGCAUCCCUCAGUUGGACUGAUCUAGUCUGUGGUUUGAUUUAUGAAGACUCCUUUACAAAAAGGAAGUCUUGUGAUAUACUUCCAACUCUCACUCUGGAGCAGUCUCUAGUUGUCUCUAUCCUUCGGAUAGAAAUGGGAAGUGAUAAUGACAUCAAAACCCAGCAUCAAUAAAGUCCGAGAUCAAGAAUCUCAGACAAAAGGCAAAGCUGUAAUCCUCAGCUCAUUGUGGCAGUAAGGCUGGAUAGAAUGGCCAAGCUGGAACUCUAGGUCUAUCAAUUGAGUGGAUCAUGGAUGCAGGGGGAGGUAAUGCAAAACUGCGUUCCAGUGGCCCAUUAUGAUUAAACUGUGUUACGGAUCUCUGUGUUUUAAAAAAUCAGAGAGCAAUUGCCCUUUAUUGUCAUAUGUCUGACAAGGGAACAUCACACCCGAUGUGUCUGGGAUUUUGCCGAUGUUUUGUCAUGUGAAGGAGCAU
rnacentral:lncRNA from 1 species